rnacentral:lncRNA from 1 species
ACCACAAGAUGUAGGUGUCACAUCACCUAUGAACCUACCCUAUGUUAAAAUCAUACACACUUGUAAAGACUGUUGUACGGUCACAUUGGAUUUGAAAGCAACAUCCUUUCUUCCAUACAUCCACGCUACCUGAAAGACGACAGCUUCCUGAAUCCAACGAUACCAGUUAUGUGAACAUCGGACCUCCGCUUCAAAAGAUACGGCCAGGUAAGCUUUGGCCAAUCAGAUCGCAUAUGCUAAUGAGGGUGGAAUUAAUGAGGGUGAAACUCGUUUUUAUCUAUAUACCUAGUUGCAAUUAACCCCAGACUAGCCCCUAACCCUAACCAUAAACUGCUAGCCCUAGCCUCACUAACCACUAGC